AGUGAACGCUGGCGGUAGGCCUAACACAUGCAAGUCGAACGGCAGCACAGUAAGAGCUUGCUCUUACGGGUGGCGAGUGGCGGACGGGUGAGGAUACAUCGGAAUCUACUUUUUCGGGGGGGAUAACGUAGGGAAACUUACGCUAAUACCGCAUACGACCUACGGGUGAAAGCAGGGGAUCUUCGGACCUUGCGCGAUUGAAUGAGCCGAUGUCGGAUUAGCUAGUUGGCGGGGUAAAGGCCCACCAAGGCGACGAUCCGUAGCUGGUCUGAGAGGAUGAUCAGCCACACUGGAACUGAGACACGGUCCAGACUCCUACGGGAGGCAGCAGUGGGGAAUAUUGGACAAUGGGCGCAAGCCUGAUCCAGCCAUACCGCGUGGGUGAAGAAGGCCUUCGGGUUGUAAAGCCCUUUUGUUGGGAAAGAAAAGCAGCAGGUUAAUACCCCGCUGUUCUGACGGUACCCAAAGAAUAAGCACCGGCUAACUUCGUG
rnacentral:rRNA from 1 species